CCGUUCUCAGUUCGGAUCGGAGUCUGCAACCCGACUCCGUGAAGCUGGAUUCGCUAGUAAUCGCGCAUCAGCCAUGGCGCGGUGAAUACGUUCCCGGGCCUUGUACACACCGCCCGUCAAGCCAUGGAAGCCGGGGGCGCUUGAAGUGCGUUGCCGCAAGGCGCGCCCUAGAGCGAAACCGGUGACUGGGGCUAAGUCGUAACAAGGUACC
rnacentral:rRNA from 1 species